AAAAUAAAGCCUAGUGGACAUGGCAUCUGCCCGGUAAGCGGAACACUGUGGGUUCGAUUCCCAUCCCUGGACACUUUUAUUUUU
rnacentral:tRNA from 1 species